rnacentral:sRNA from 1 species
AUUUAGAAUUUAAGCCUAGAUACUUGAGCAGUUUUUCUAUAACUGAGCAAAAAAACAAAGUAGCUCUUGAUGGUCCACUAAAAUGAGUCUAACCAGGGACUCCCUACAGGUUGUAUAUAGUAAACUACAUUUUCGUGGAAUAUGAGAAUUACGUUAAAAGAGUACCAACUAAGAAUAAUUUUAUUGUUCAUGGAAGAUAGGGUAAAUCUCAAUGUUAAUACUGCCUUAUUUAUACAUGUACUAAUCAAAGGAGCCAUUAAACUGUUUUUCCACACUAUUAUACUAAGCACAUUUCACAGCUUUACAUGUCAUCUGGGCCCAGUGUGGUGACUCAUACCUGUAAUCCCAGCACUUUGGGAGGCCAAGGCAGGAGGAUCACUGAGCAACAUUAGGAGACCUCAUCUCUACAAAAAACUUAAAAAUUAGUCGGGUGUGGUGAUGGGUGCCUGUAGUCCCAGCUACUUGGGAGGCUGAGGCAAGAGGAUUGCUUGAGCCCGGGAGGUUGAAGCUGCAUUAUUGAGCCAUGAUCGCACCACUGCACUGCAGCCUGGGAGACAGAGUGAGACGCUGUCUCAAAAAAAAAAAAAAAAAAAAAAAAAAAAAAAAACAGUUGUCUCAAGUCAGUAAAUUCUAUUUUGGAUAAGUAGUAAAGAAUGGGUUUUGGAGGUGUAUUUUUUUAAAUCUUGUAGGGGACAAGUAGUCUAUUCCAGCAGGUAGAUACUAAUCUUUCUUUUCUUUCUAAGUUUAUACUCUAAAGUUUUAUUUUGUCAGACUUUUUCACAGGGUACCUUUAGUGGUUGCCAAUCUGGGCAUGUCUGAACAACUGGGUUAUAAAACUGUAUCAGGUUCCUGUAUGUCCACUGGUUUUAGCCGAGCAGUACAAACACACAGCUCUAAAUUUUUUGAAGAAGAUGGAUCCUUAAAGGAGGUACAUAAGAUAAAUGAAAUGUAUGCUUCAUUACAAGAGGAAUUAAAGAGUAUAUGCAAAAAAGUGGAAGACAGUGAACAAGCAGUAGAUAAACUAGUAAAGGAUGUAAACAGAUUAAAACGAGAAAUUGAGAAAAGGAGAGGAGCACAGAUUCAGGCAGCAAGAGAGAAGAACAUCCAAAAAGACCCUCAGGAGAACAUUUUUCUUUGUCAAGCAUUACGGACCUUUUUUCCAAAUUCUGAAUUUCUUCAUUCGUGUGUUAUGUCUUUAAAAAAUAGACAUGUUUCUAAAAGUAGCUGUAACUACAACCACCAUCUCGAUGUAGUAGACAAUCUGACCUUAAUGGUAGAACACACUGACAUUCCUGAAGCUAGUCCAGCUAGUACACCACAAAUCAUUAAGCAUAAAGCCUUAGACUUAGAUGACAGAUGGCAAUUCAAGAGAUCACGGUUGUUAGAUACACAAGACAAACGAUCUAAAACAGAUACUGAUAGUAGUAACCAAGAUAAAGCGUCCAAAAUGAGCAGCCCAGAAACAGAUGAAGAAAUUGAAAAGAUGAAGGGUUUUGGUGAAUAUUCACGGUCUCCUACAUUUUGAUCCUUUUAACCUUACAAGGAGAUUUUUUUAUUUGGCUGAUGGGUAAAGCCAAACAUUUCUAUUGUUUUUACUAUGUUGAGCUACUUGCAGUAAGUUCAUUUGUUUUUACUAUGUUCACCUGUUUGCAGUAAUACACAGAUAAGUCUUAGUGCAUUUACUUCACAAAGUACUUUUUCAAACAUCAGAUGCUUUUAUUUCCAAACCUUUUUUUCACCUUUCACUAAGUUGUUGAGGGGAAGGCUUACACAGACACAUUCUUUAGAACUGGAAAAGUGAGACCAGGCACAGUGGCUCACACCUGUAAUCCCAGCACUUAGGGAAGACAAGUCAGGAGGAUUGAUUGAGGCCAGAAGUUAGAGACCAGCCUGGGCAACGUAUUGAGACCCAUCUCUCUU